rnacentral:rRNA from 1 species
AAAACUUUUAACAACGGAUCUCUUGGUUCUGGCAUCGAUGAAGAACGCAGCGAAAUGCGAUAAGUAAUGUGAAUUGCAGAAUCUAGUGAAUCAUCGAAUCUUUGAACGCACAUUGCGCCCCUUGGUAUUCCGGGGGGCAUGCCUGUUCGAGCGUCAUU